rnacentral:rRNA from 1 species
UACGGGGGGAGCAAGCGUUGUUCGGAUUUACUGGGCGUAAAGGGCGCGUAGGCGGUCGAUGACAAGUCACUUGUGAAAUCUCCGGGCUUAACUCGGAACGGUCAAGUGAUACUGUCGGACUAGAGUACAGAAGGGGCAACUGGAAUUCUCGGUGUAGCGGUGAAAUGCGUAGAUAUCGAGAGGAACACCUGCGGCGAAGGCGGGUUGCUGGGCUGAUACUGACGCUGAGGCGCGAAAGCCAGGGGAGCGAACGGG